rnacentral:misc_RNA from 2 species
AAUUUCUGCUACAUUAGUUCAGUUUCUGUACUUAAUUG